rnacentral:lncRNA from 1 species
AUUUUCUCCCAGGACCCUCAACUAAUUAGCAAAUUCAGCCUUUGAAUUCGUUCAGGACCAGCAGAAUCUUACAAAUAUUGGGAGGGCAGCAAAUUACCAGCAAAAGAUAAUUUUGAAGAUCCCCAGAAAAGAUGAGAACUGACUGGCAGAUAGACACCAAAGGUGGAAAGUAGCCCUGAAACAGAACUCAGCAGCUGUUAAUACCAAAGGAGCUUUCUGAUUUAGAAGAUUGAUACAAGCUGUUAUAUCUAUCAAACAAAGCAAGAACACCAUAUUCUUCCACUCAUUAUUUGGUUCCUGUUUAUAUGUGAUUAUUCACUCCUCAUCUUAUGUAAAUUUGUUUCUAAAAAGAGAGGUAUCCAGAUUAUGACCUUUGACUUUAGAAAAAGACCACCAGUAUUGGUUAUAGCAGUAAAUAACACUAGGAAGAUGUAAAUAUAUUGAGUAAAUCUAGAGAAAUACCCUGAAACAAACUUGGUAGAGACUCUGCAAAAGGAGAAAACCACACUCCUUCCCUAAGAAGCAAGUCUAGAAAUAUUCCUUGGACCCACAUGAUCUCUAUAGUGUAUCAAACUACCACUGGUGCAUUGGAUUGAGCCUGCUCUCCA